GAGGGCGAGCGGCGGAGCUGUGCAUCCCACCGUCUGUCUGCAUGUGGAGGGACAUCGGCUGGUCAUCGCGCUGAGCAAUGGGUGAUACAGCUGCUAAUUAGACACGGGCUGUUCAUCUGCUCCAUUUAUUGACCUUUAUGAUAGGAGUAUAAGGAAUUGACAUCAGUCUUCAGAGGAGCCAUUUUUAAAAGCUGACUCACCUGCAGACACAAAGAGGAUUCCUGCACUGAGGAUGAUAUUGUGACGGGACUUGUAGAACUCGCUGGCAGCUAUACACAGGCCACCCAUGAAGAGCAGGAUGACGCUGAGGAUGGGGAAGAUACUAGACGCUCGUACGGCUCCUACAGAUGAAGAGAGAGAGAAGAAGAAGUGAGGCUAUUGUGGACCGAGGGCUUGAGGAUGAAGGUUUCUUGGGGAGCUGGACUGAUAAUGAUGCCCCAGGUUCUCCCUGUGCAUAUGCCGUCCUCCGUCUCUCCCUCCCCCCCAAGCACACAGCCGCAGAGGGGGGUGGAUUUGGCCGUAUGCUCCUGCCUGGACCGAGGAGCGUGACUGUCAGCACCUCGACAGCUAGGUGCUAACCGCGGGUCUGCAGAGGUGGAAACAUCUCAGUCCAUCCUCCACAGAGCCAGAACCUCAACGAGAAGACACAUGCUCAUUAUGUUAAUCUGACAGGAUGCUUUGGCAGUGUAUAUGCUGCUCUUCCAGGAUGUUUUUUUCCUCCUACUGUUCAUCACAUCACUGGUGUUUAUAGGAUAAGUGGAUCAUAGGAUUGAAGUGUUAUAGAGAGUGGGCAUGCCAAAGAAAAUAUGGUUGGACUUUUCCUUUGGGACACAUUCUAAUCUGCAGUGGCACUAUAAUGGCUCCGUGGGUGUCCAGAACAAGACCUUAACAAGCUGUCAUCUUUCACUGAGGUGCGAUAACAGAAAGUGCAUUGUGCUUUGCUUUUGUGUUGUAAAAAUAGUAGAAACUUUGCUAAUUAUCUGGUUUGACACUUUUUGCUUUGUGAUUGAGGAUGGAAAUAAAAAAUGUGCAGUGGCCAUUAAAAGUAUUUGGACAUUUAAGCCUAGUUUAAAAGUUUAUGAUUUGUAUUAGAUAACAAGAUGUCGAACUAAGUGGCAUCUGCGAAGAAAAGAUGCUAGACUUUUUGUAGAAGUAACUUCACAUUUCUAACUAUAAAAAUGACUUUUAAUCAGCUGGUUGCAUGGUCAUUUAUGAUUUUUCAGUCAGUUUAGCUCAAGAUUAACCACAGGUGUGGUUUGCCAACUAAACUUUGACACUCAAAAGAAAAGGCCCAUUGUACUGUGUUAAUAUGAAGGAAUUUUAUGUAUUGAUGUUUCACUGGUGUUUUACCUGUAUUUGGAAAUGCCUGUAAACUUAACAGAAAAUGUACUGGCAAUUUUCUGACAGGACAUCAUCCAUUUCUCUACAGAUUAUUUUCUAGCAGUGAACAUUUUAACAUUUUUGUCUGUCUAUUAUAUUAUAAUUUAAAAUAAACCUCAAACUACAUGUUUUUUCUUAAAGUGUGCUUGUGCUAUUUAUUUUAAUAAAUGCCUCUUAGUUUUUAUCUAAUGACAUACAUAUGCUUUUAAGUAUGCCUUUAAGGUGUCGAAACAUUGCAAGUUCAUUAAGAA